rnacentral:rRNA from 1 species
UACGGAGGGUGCGAGCGUUGUUCGGAAUUACUGGGCGUAAAGCGCGCGCAGGCGGCUCUUUAAGUCUCGUGGUCAAAUGCCGGGGCUCAACCCCGAGCGUGCCGGGGAUACUGGAGGGCUGGAGACAGGUAGAGGCAAGCGGAAUUCCGGGUAUAGCGGUGGAAUGCGUAGAGAUCCGGAAGAACACCGGUGGCGAAGGCAGCACUCUGGGACGUGACUGACGCUGAGACGCGAAAGCGUGGGGAGCAAACAGG